UACGGGGGGGGCAAGCGUUGUUCGGAAUUACUGGGCGUAAAGGGCUCGUAGGUGGCCAACUAAGUCAGACGUGAAAUCCCUCAGCUUAACUGGGGAACUGCGUCUGAUACUGGAUGGCUUGAGUUUGGGAGAGGGAUGCGGAAUUCCAGGUGUAGCGGUGAAAUGCGUAGAUAUCUGGAGGAAUACCGGUGGCGAAGGCGGCAUCCUGGACCGGCAUUGACGCUGAGGAGCGAAAGCCAGGGGAGCAAACGGG
rnacentral:rRNA from 1 species